UUAGCCUACGGGGGGCAGCAGCCGCGGUAAUACGUAGGGAGCGAGCGUUGUCCGGAUUUACUGGGUGUAAAGGGUGCGUAGGCGGCCCUGCAAGUCAGAAGUGAAAUCCAUGGGCUUAACCCGUGAACUGCUUUUGAAACUGCAGGACUUGAGUGGAGUAGAGGUAGGCGGAAUUCCCGGUGUAGCGGUGAAAUGCGUAGAGAUCGGGAGGAACACCAGUGGCGAAGGCGGCCUACUGGGCUUUAACUGACGCUGAAGCACGAAAGCGUGGGUAGCAAAUAGGAUUAGAUACCCCAGUAGUCCCG
rnacentral:rRNA from 1 species